rnacentral:snoRNA from 1 species
CCCCUCUUAGGGUCGCACCUGGGGAGUCUCCAGGCCUCUACCAGUCUCAGCUACGGGAGGGAGAGUCAAGCGGAGGCCUGUCCAUUCCAUUCCUAGCUUGGUCAGUGGCUAGUGACUGGAAGGCAAUCUGCUGCAAGU